rnacentral:lncRNA from 1 species
AAAAAAAAAAAGAAAAAAAAAAUAGAGAAAAAUUCUAGAAUACACCGGGUAUAUUGGUGAUCUGGCGUCACAAACCAAUCAAAUAACUCAUUUUAAAAAUAUAUGUCCCAUUAUGAUUGUAAAAAAAUAUUUUUAUUGUACUUUUGUUUGAAAAGAAGAUAUAUAAUUGGCUUGUUAUUGAUGAUGUGGUGCAAGCGUGACAGUGUAGAACUUCUCCC